rnacentral:tRNA from 1 species
GGGCGCAUGGUCUAGAGGUAUGAUAUUCGCUUUGCAUCCGACUUGUUCGGAAUAUGCCUGCGAAGGGUCCGGGGUUCAAUUCCCCGUGCGUCCA